ensembl:lncRNA
CUGAGGAAAAUAAAUCAGAACAAUCCACCCCAACCACAUUAAUAAACAAUAAAACCUCAAUCUGUAAUGUACAGGAUUACUCUAAAUAAAAGGUUGACAAUCAAGCAGUUUCAAAUAUGAUUAUUGCAUUCCAACUGCAUAUAAGACAAAUAUGUGUAGGAGAAGGUCAAAUAUAUAUAUAUAUAAAUAAAUAUAUAUAUUUAUAUCUCAAUGUAACACUGUUUCAAACCAAGGCAACAAUAAAAAGGCAAAAAAAUAAUAAAAAGGCAUCAACAUUUGUCCAGACACUCAUGUGGAUAUGUUGCAGUGAGUUUCCUCCUUUAAACAAAGUCACAAAUAUGUGUAACUGUGUUUGCAGUGUGUUCGACAGAUAAGUGGAGGAUGGUGAUUAGGUCCAAUCCCAUAAACCCCUAGCCCCAAGGAGAGGAGAGGGAAGAGAGGGGGGGGGCAGGGUAGAGGAGAAGAGGGGACGGGAGAGGGGAGGGUAGAGGAGAAGAGGGGACGGGAGAGGGGAGGGUAGAGGAGAAGAGGGGACGGGAGAGGAGAGGGUAGAGGAGAAGAGGGGACGGGAGAGGAGAGGGAAGAGAGGGGGGGGGACGGGAGAGGGGAGGGUAGAGGAGAAGAGGGGACGGGAGAGGGGAGAAGAGGGGGGACGGUAGAGGAGAAGAGGUGGGGAGAGGGGAGGGUAGAGAGGGGGGCAGGGUAGAGGAGAAGAGGGGAGGGGAGAGGGCAGGGUAGAGGAGAAGAGGGGACGGGAGAGGGGAGGGUAGAGAGAAGGGGGGCAGGGUAGAGGAGAAGAGGGGAGGGAAGAGGGGAGGGUAGAGGAGAAGAGGGGACGGGAGAGGGGACGGUAGAGGAGAAGAGGGGACGGGAGAGGGGAGAGUGGAGGAGAGGAGAGGGGAUGUUAGAGGAGAAGAGGGGAUGGGAGAGGGGAGAGUGGAGGAGAGGAGAAGAGGGGAGGGGAUGUUAGAGGAGAAGCGAAGAGGCAUAUAAGGAAAUGAAUUUAGGGGAUAAGGAAAUCAAAUAAGGAGAAGAGGUUAGGAGACAAGGAGAUGAGACUUGACUGAAGACCGACUUAAAUGCUGGCUGUCCUGGGUAUCUCCUGGCUGUCUGCCAGAUUCAGCUUCUGACUUGUGGAGAGGAGAUUGGAGUCAAGGAGAACAGCUGAAACACACACACCUCAC